rnacentral:rRNA from 1 species
GAGGGGGCUAGCGUUGUUCGGAAUUACUGGGCGUAAAGCGCACGUACGCGGAUCAGAAAGUUGGGGGUGAAAUCCCGGGGCUCAACCUCGGAACUGCCUUCAAAACUAUUGGUCUUGAGUUCGAGAGAGGUGAGUGGAAUUCCGAGUGUAGAGGUGAAAUUCGUAGAUAUUCGGAGGAACACCAGUGGCGAAGGCGGCUCACUGGCUCGAUACUGACGCUGAGGUGCGAAAGCGUGGGGAGCAAACAGGAUUAGAUACC